AACAAGCAAUAGGAGAACCAAGUUGCCAUGAGGACAAGUGCUGAUCUUGCAGAUCUGGACAACAGCCCCAUUGGAGGGUUCAUUAAGAUGCCACGUGUUCAUCUGAGUUCUUAGUCUUUCUAUUCCUCUUCAACUUGCCUGAUGAUCUCUUCUGUGGUAGCUUUGUCAGUGUCUUCAGCCCCGUUGGACUACAAGCCCAUGAUGAUCCAUGGUAGCACUGGAACUGCUUUCACUGCUUGGCCUUCUCCUCCACAGCAAGAUUUUAUUCAAAUCACAACAGUUCAAGCAUUUUAUCAAAAAUAAUGUUCCUCUGCUUCACGAAGACAUUAUUGCUUAGGGUGAAUGACAUUUCUCUGAUCUACUGUGGCUCUUCAGGUGCAAAAGCAGGAACCUGAAGAUAGAGAUGCAGCGCUUCACUGACCUGUCUGUAUUUCCCUUGCGACUUUUUCUUAGGUGCUGAAAUCAGUGGAGCUACUUGAGGCCACAAAGGUGGCAGAAGAAGGAAAACAUUUGAUUUUGCAUAGGAAACUUUCUGAUUUCUGGGACUUCUUCCUACUAGGGAAGGAUUAUUGCAGCCCACCACUUCUGAAACGUCUCAAAGAUGGAGCAACCUGUCCCAGAGGCCAUCUGCACUGGCACUGGGGCACUUGACCUAUCGUGACUUGACCUACGCUUCACGUGAGCACUGUGGGCUUCUGAGCCAUGGUUGCUCCACUGCUGCAGACGGAGGAGCAGUCGGUGCCAUCAGCCCCAACAGAUGAGGAGCAUUUCCUGGAGAAUCAGUGCAGAGCUGCUCAUCUCCAGAUCAGCUGUGAAACCAACACACCACGAUUCACAUAUGUUCACUAAAGAUGCUGCAUUUCCCAAGAGCAGAGGCAGCACAUGACUAGAUAAUUCUUUUCCUAUUCUAAGCUAGUUCAGCAACCACAACAUUUCCUCUUCCCAGCUUGUGUCACAAUCCUGCUGCAAGCUGUUACCACCUGUUGUCUUCUCCCAAGAGAAAUUGCUUCCAGCUAUUCAAAAAUGAGGUGUGUAGUGGCCUUAAGAAAGGUGGUUUGGUGUUUAAUUUCCAAAAGUCUUUGCACUGGUUGAAUGUAGUAACUGUCUAGGAAUUAAAAAAAAAAA